GAGUUUGAUCUUGGCUCAGAUUGAACGCUGGCGGCGUGCUUAACACAUGCAAGUCGAGCGGUAACAGGCGUAGCAAUACGUGCUGACGAGCGGCGAACGGGUGAGUAAUGCUUCGGAAUCUUCCUCGUAGUGGGGAAUAACCUGGGGAAACUCAGGCUAAUACCGCAUACGAACUACGGUUGAAAGCAGGGGAUCGCAAGACCUUGCGCUAUGAGAUGAGCCGAAGUCGGAUUAGCUAGUUGGUGAGGUAAAGGCUCACCAAGGCGACGAUCCGUAGCUGGUCUGAGAGGACGACCAGCCACACUGGGACUGAGACACGGCCCAGACUCCUACGGGAGGCAGCAGUGGGGAAUAUUGGACAAUGGGGGCAACCCUGAUCCAGCGACGCCGCGUGUGUGAAGAAGGCCUGCGGGUUGUAAAGCACUUUUAGUGGGAUGAAAAGCCGAAGGCUAAUACCUUUCGGUCUUGACCUAACCCAAAGAAAAGCACCGGCUAACUCUGUGCCAGCCGCCGCCGUAAC
rnacentral:rRNA from 1 species